rnacentral:rRNA from 1 species
AAAGAACGCUGGCGGCAUGCUUAACACAUGCAAGUUGAACGGAUAAAAUGUCUAGCUUGCUAGAUAUUUUAUUAGUGGCAAACGGGUGAGUAACACGUAGGAAUCUACCCUGUAGUAUGGAACAACAAUCGGAAACGGUUGCUAAUACUGUAUAAGCUCGGUAACGAGGAAAGAUUUAUCGCUAUAGGAUGAGCCUGCGUUAGAUUAGGUAGUUGGUAGGGUAAUGGCCUACCAAGCCUACGAUCUAUAGCUGGUCUGAGAGGCUGAGCAGCCACACUGGAACUGGGAUACGGUCCAGACUCCUGCGGGAGGCAGCAGUGGGGAAUAUUGGACAAUGGGCGCAAGCCUGAACCAGCAAUGCCGCGUGAAUGAUGAAGGCCUUCGGGUUGUAAAGUUCUUUCGGCGGGGAAGAAAUUGACGGUACCCGCAGAAGAAGCUCCGGCUAACUCCGUGCCAGCAGCCGCCGUAA